rnacentral:tRNA from 1 species
GGGCCCGUAGCUCAGGGGUAGAGCACCUGACUUUUAAUCAGGGUGUCGAUGGUUCGAUCCCAUCCGGGCUCACCA